rnacentral:rRNA from 1 species
AAACCGGAGGAAGGUGGGGAUGACGUCAAGUCAUCAUGGCCCUUACGGCCUGGGCUACACACGUGCUACAAUGGUCGGUACAAAGGGUUGCCAAGCCGCGAGGUGGAGCUAAUCCCAUAAAACCGAUCGUAGUCCGGAUCGCAGUCUGCAACUCGACUGCGUGAAGUCGGAAUCGCUAGUAAUCGUGAAUCAGAAUGUCACGGUGAAUACGUUCCCGGGCCUU